AAUACAGGAUGCCCAGUUAAAUUUGAAUUUUAGAUAAACAGCAAAUAUUUUUACUUGUUUCUUAAAUAUGCCCCAUGCAACAUUUGGAACAUACUUAUACUAAAAAGUUGUUUGUUAUUUAUCUGAAAUUCAAAUUUAACUUAGUGUCAUGUAUUUU
rnacentral:miRNA from 1 species